rnacentral:rRNA from 1 species
CCUACGGGAGGCUGCAGUGAGGAAUAUUGGUCAAUGGGCGAGAGCCUGAACCAGCCAAGUCGCGUGAGGGAGUACUGCCCUAUGGGUUGUAAACCUCUUUUGUCGGGGAGCAAAAGCCGGACCUGUCCGGCUGUGAGAGUACCCGAAGAAAAAGCAUCGGCUAACUCCGGGCCAGCAGCCGCGGGAAUACGGGGGAUGCGCACGUUAUCCGGAUUUUUUUGGGUUAAAGGGGGCGCAGGCGGAUUUUUAAGUCAGCGGGUAAAAGGGGGGGCUCAACCCCAUCCAGCCGUUGAAACUGGGGAUCUAGAGUGUGCGAGAGGUAUGCGGAAUGCGUGGUGUAGCGGUGAAAUGCAUAGAUAUCACGCAGAACCCCGAUUGCGAAGGCAGCAUACCGGUGCACAACUGACGCUCAGGCACGAAAGCGUGGGUAUCGAACAGGAUUAGAUACCCUUGUAGUC